GACUGACGACUGACAACGGGGAGGCUUGUUGUGAGUUAUGAGUUGUAGGUUGUAGGUUGGCCGGUAUCGUGCGAAGCGCGAUGCGGCCAUGGCAAACGGGUUAGGAACACGUAGGAAUCUUCCUCGAAGUCGCGAAUAACCCGGAGAAAUCCGGGAUAAUACGCGAUGUGCUCUACGGAGUAAAGAUUUAUCGCUUCGAGAGGAGCCUGCGUCCUAUCAGCUAGUUGGUGAGGUAAAGGCUUACCAAGGCUAUGACGGGUAGGGGGUGUGAGAGCAUGGCCCCCAACAUUGGCACUGAGACACUGGCCAAACACCUACGGGUGGCUCCGUG
rnacentral:rRNA from 1 species